UUGCGUUGUAAAUAUUCUAAUAUGCCUGACUUUAUUUUAUAACUUAUUUGAGUGCCUGUUUUUGUAAAUCUAAUAUACUCAAACGCAAGAACGACCAAUAUGCUAAUCGACAUUAGUACGUCGUCUUUGGUGUUUGUGUUAAUUUAGCAUAAUGCUAAGCGCCAUUUUGUUUUGCUAAUCAGCGUAAUGGCUACGCAUAAGUUAAUGUUAGUGUUUUGUUGUCGAUAUUUUAAUGAAUCAUUUUUGACGUGAACGAGAAGUUGAUAUCUUGUGUGCUUUAAUUUUGUGCUGUAUUUAUUUCUGGCGUGGCUUCUGGUUAAAAAUAUUACUACAUGUAUUAGGGAGCGUAAUAUGUUUCAUAUGAAAUAUCGUGGACCUUCACGGACUUACCCUCCAUAUUCAACUGAUUUUAUGGUUUUAUUAAUAAGUCUUUUAGAAACUUUACACGGAUAACUAUUAGAAUUGAACGUCCCUAAGACACUGGUGUCUCUAGUGCGCCACCUGUGGCCAUUUGGGUGUUUUUGUAACUGGUCCACGGCAUUUUAAAAAAAAAAUUAAUUUAGCACUGCCUGGAUCAAAACAUUACCAAGGAGCAAUAAAGGUUAAAAAUAUCAAGGCGGCCUUUUCCAUAUAACGGCACAGAGUAGCGGAGUAUCCCAACCUCUUUGAAUGCAUCUCUCAGUUCUUUGACUCCAAUCAUGUCUGCGGUCUCUGCAAGCAUUUUGGGCCCCAUCAGCUCCACAAAGUCUUCAAAGUCCACUUUGCCCCCACCUGCAUUACAGACACCAGGUUGUCAGUUUUGCACUUUUACCAGAAGUCAUUCAGUUGAGGUCCACUCACAGAUCUGCUGACUGAGCUCGAUGAGCUCCAUCUCCGUGGGCAUGUACCCCAUGGUCCGCAUGCACUCUCCCAGGUCUUUGUGGCUGAUGUAGCCAUCUUUGUUCUUAUCAAACUCCAAAAAGGCCUCACGGAGCUCUGAGGGCACGUGGUGUUAGAAGUGGAGCUCUCUGUCCUGUUGGAGGCAAGGAAGAUGCAUGUCAGCAUGGAUGGAGAUGAAGCCUUCUACUGCAUCCCAUACAGUGUCCUAAAGGAGCACCACUCCUUUGGUACCCGAGUGGCCAAUGACAUGUGGAGCAUAGCGGAUAUUGAAGAUAAUCCGAGCCAACGAUGUCGCAGUGUUUGCUAUGCCUCUUAGUCUGUGGUUGUGCAACACUUGAGUUGACGGUGUGUGGGUUGAGAACCCAUCAGCGCCAACCAGGAAACGAUCUUCUGCAGCAAUCAACCAGAGUCGCUUCUUCCUUCCACUUCCUGCUUCCGCACACAGCCACCCACUCGCAUCGCCACUGACAUCAGCUGUUUUUCUUUUUCUGUGCAUUUCCCGUUGACGUCAGCGUGUGACAUCCUCCUCCGAGUCAGACAAACAGCAGAAUGACUCACACGGGCCGCGGCGCUAUCUUAAUCUCCUCCUGUAUUUAUUUCUACGCUUCCUCACUCCGGGCUCCCCCCCGUGUCGGAGCCGUGCACCGACAGAUGCCGUAAUGGUUCCCUCCCGCGUCUCAUGUCUCCUGUGACGCGAUGCUGAGCCGGUGCACAAUGGCCGCUGGGAUGCACGGCAGUGUCAUGGCAUCUCUGGCUGCCCGUGGCCCUAUCUGUUACGGAUUACACUUUCCUAAUGUUUCCUAAAGUAAAGGAGCUUAAAUCCUCUCAAACACACGCUAUCUCAUCCUUAGCGUUGAUGCUCCUGCUAUUCCCAGCAUGCACUCUGGGUUAAAUGAAAUGGAAGUUUGUCGCUCGUAUUAAACGCAGCUUUUUUUUUUUUUUUUUUUGCCUUUUAAUGUUACAUAUGAGAUGCAUGCGGUGGAGUUUAAUGUAUGAAUUGAGGCUGCAGAUGUCAUUAAAGCCGCUGGAUAGGCCGCAAACUAUCAGGCUUCAACACAGUGGCCGCUCUGCAUAAGGGGCACCAGGGGGUCAUGGCCUUUCGCCUCCAACAGAGGGCACUGUUUCUCUCUAGUCUUGUAUUGUCAUGGAGAGCAUUCAUUCAUUUUCUACCGCUUUUUCCUCACAAGGGGGGGUGCUGGAGCCUAUCCCAGCUGUCUUGGGGCGAGAGGCGGGGUACACCCCGGACUGGUGGCCAGCCAAUCGCAGGGCACAUAUAGACAAACAACCAUUCACACUCACAUUCAUACCUAUGGACAAUUUGGAGUCGCCAAUUAACCUAGCAUGUUUUUUUUUGGAAUGUGGGAGGAAACCGGAGUACCCGGAUAUUUUGUUCCAUAACCCUCAGGAUGUUUUUCAGAUGUUUGCAAUGACUGUCUUACUGUGUCCAACCUCAGGCGCAACGGUAAUGACAUCAAUGGCUCAACGUUCCCAACGCCUUUUUGCCUUUGCCAUCAAGAGAUCAUGACCUCCUUAAGAUCCUACAUAGAACCUCCUUAAGCUCCUACAUAGAACCUCCUUAAGUUCCUACAUAGAACCUCCUUAAGAUCCAACAGUGCAAAAUGUAAACAAUGGCCAUUUUUCAACUGGUCUUAACGUUUUGAUCACGUUUGAGUCCCUGGUUUUCACGCCUGUUAUGAUUCCUUUUGGCUCGCUUCUGCCUUGCCGAACCACGGCUUGAAGGAUUUGGGGUUUUGGUGUGUGUCUGCUUUCCAGUGUGUGUUUUUAAUUAAAUAAAAAUGCCAGAAAAUAAAUUAAAAUAGCACUGAAUAGCUUCAAUAAAUAAAUAUUUCAUAAAUCAAAAGGCUCCUUAAAAUAAAAAUAAGGCUCCAUUAAAAUGUAAAAAUGCAAUGAUAUCAUAAUUAUUUAUCAAAUAUUUUACAAUUGAAUUAAUUUACUGUUUAUUAAUUUAGAUUAAUUGAUUAAUUUCGAUCCGCCCAUACCAUCCAACGCUACUGUUCAAUGACGAGACACACACAGUAGAAGACAUCUCAACUACCUGUCCAAACACAGAGUCCACGAUGGGCAGCAGGUCGACCGGCGCCUCCUCCUCCUCUCUCCCCGCCUCCUCCCUGACCUUGUCUCUUCUCUGUGGUGCC